AAGAGACGUUGAGCAUAGCGGCCAAAAAUUGCCAGCCGCUCAGCUUAUCGCCGCAAAACAUGUCUCCAGAAAAAUCAACCCUUCAUGUGCCACACCAUCGACGGCGACUGCAUCAAGAAAUCCCGCUAAUUCGGACUUUAUUAUAAUUCAAUUUUUAUUUUGCCUUUUUUUUAUCUUUUAACCAAUAAUUUAUUCCAAUAUUGCAGAAACCUGCAAAGUGAGAUUGGUAGCGCACGAAACCCUGGCACUGCUGCUCCACCGUGCGUCGCUGAUCCAUCCUCCUCUCUUCGGCGUUGAGUUUUCGACUCUCCUGCAUAGUGCUUGAAAUCCAUACUCCCUCAUCCACGCGUGAAAUUCCUAAUCUCUGAUCCAUCCUGCGCCUCUGUGUGGUUGUGAAGUCGCUGGCUGCCCUCCAUCCUUCUCUCACCGAUGUCAAAGUUUUCCAUCUCCUCGAUCGUGCGUGAAACCCUUACAUCUUCCUCCCCCGUGCUGAGCUAUCGCAGUCUCUCCCCUGUCACUGGUCAUUGAUGAUGUUAAGGCCGUGCAAUUGAUUGAAUCAUAUGAAGAAAGAAAUAUGACAUUACAUCUUUUAUGGAAUCGAUCCCCCUUUGACUGUACAAGAAUAUGUGGAGCUCAACAUGUCUGGAAGCACCGGAGAACGUUCUUUUGCUGAUAUUCUUGGUUCAGUUCUCUACCUUAAUGACAGAAAAAAGGAUUGAUCAAAUUCUAUUGAGUUCGGUUAUCUACCUUACUGAGAAUUGGUGGAUUUGGAUGUUUCGCCUCUUCCUCGGAGAAAGACGAUCAAAAAAUUUCCAAUCAUGGUCCUUGCGGAUCGGAUCAUCCAUAUAAUAUACAAAAAGAAACUCCAGAUAUUUGAUAUCUUUCUCAUUACAUUAUCAAGAAUGAGACUAGUUGAAUUUCUCAAUAAAAAGUGAUAGUUUUUCUGGAAGUUUUAAUAGUAUUUCUAGCGAAUUGCUAUAUCUUGAGUGGGAAGAUUAUCCAUUUACGUAUUUUUCAUCAUGUUGUAAGCUAUUCAAGCUUUUGAAAUUAGUCGUGCAAAGGAGCAACAUCAAGCAACUAUGGGAUGGCACAAUAUGUCUGCACAAUUUGAAGGAAUUGAAUCUCUCUGACUCCAAAAAUCUUGUGAAGAUUCCAAACCUUAGCCAGGCUCCAAAUCUUGAGAUGCUAUUCCUUAGAAGAUGUAGAAAGCUUAAGCACAUACAUCCAUCAACUGGAAACCUAAGAAAACUUGUUCAAAACUUGUUCAGUUAGAUUUGAGUGCUUAAGAUUAUU